rnacentral:rRNA from 1 species
GGCCUCACACUUCUCUGAGGUCUAACCUGCCCACUGAUCAUUUGAAGGGCCGUGGUAUACUGACCAUGCGAAGGUAGCAUAAUCAUUUGCCCCCUAAUUAGGGGCUAGAAUGAAGGGUCGGACGAGGGAUCUCCUGUCUCUUACAUUGAAUUGAAAUUAAUUAUUAGGUGAAAAAGCCUAAAUUCUCUUGUAGGACGAUAAGACCCUAUGGAUCUUUAUAGAUAGCUCGUUAAAGGGCUUGGUUGUUAACACCUUAUACGGAUUCUAUUGUGUUGGGGCGACACUGAGAGGAGAUACAACCCUCAGCCUUUAUUAACACACAUAGGUGAGUUAAGAUCCUUCGUUGAAAUUAGAUUAAGUUACCCUAGGGAUAACAGCGUUAUAUCUUUUGAGAGUUCAUAUCGACAAAGAUGAUUACGACCUCGAUGUUGGUUCAGGGAACCUUUAAGGUGCAGCAGUCUUUUAAGGAGGUCUGUUCGACCUUUAAACCCCU